rnacentral:rRNA from 1 species
CCCUUAGAUGUUCUGGGCUGCACGCGCGCUACACUGAAGCGUUCAACGAGUAUUCACCUUGCCCGGGAGGGUUGGGUAAUCUUUUGAAAACGCUUCGUGAUGGGGAUAGAUUAUUGCAAUUAUUAAUCUUCAACGAGGAAUUCCUAGUAAGCGCGAGUCAUCAGCUCGUGCUGAUUACGUCCCUGCCCUUUGUACACACCGCCCGUCACUCCUACCGAUUGAGUGAUCCGGUGAAUAAUUCGGACUGCAGCACUGCUUGGUCUCCAGGCUUUGCAGCGGAAAGUUUAGUGAACCUUAUCACUUAGAGGAAGGAGAANUCGUAACA